CGUUUUUUUUUCUUUUUAUCAUUUUUAUUUUAAUAUUAUUUCUGCUUGGAGAAUGAAUGUACCGCUGAAGUGGAAUCGUCAGGUACACUUUCUAAUUGUUUUUGUCUUGUUCGCGAUUCUGGUAUUGAAUUGCCAGAAAUUGUGUUGGGGUGGUCAUUUCAAAUAAAUAUAUCAUUUCCCGCUCCUCAAGUAUAGGCAACCAAUAUAACAUCUUUUCUCGUCAAAUUGUCAAGUCGCAAAAACUUGUUUUGAAUCCCAUCUGUGAAAUAUAGAUACAUCAAUUGGAACUCAUUUUUCCGUAUUUCUCGAGUGUAGAGCAUCUCAGCUAAUCCGAAUAAAGAUUUUCUGUCUUCGACCAUUUGAGUUGGAUUAUUUGGAAAAUUGCAGAUAAUAUCAUAAUUUUGCUGAUUAUUUUGGAUAUUUAUAUCACGUUUUGGAAUCAAGCAGAAUUUCCGUCUUGUACGGGAUAAAAAUUCUACAUACUCUGAUAGAAAUUUCUAUAAAAGCCGCCCUCCAUCUUAGGCUUUCAAUUCUUCUGAAUAUUUUACUGAUUCGAUAUAUAAGUGGAUCAACCUGAAUUAUUGGCGUGUUGGUUGAUGCAAAGACAUCCCUUGGACAUAUGCACCCCCAUUGCCUUAUACUGAGGGUUGGAAUAACUUCUAACCGGUUGGGAGCGAACCGAAUUCAACAUUUCCAUCAACUGGACUUCUCCCUCUGGAUGAGUACAACCCUUUUAUUUUCAUUAGAGAAAGUUACCAAAAUUAAUCAUUUAUUUUGAAUAUAUUGAAUAACCAUAUUGGACCAUAUAUAGACUCUGAAAUUUAACUAAAAUCCUACAGUUUAUUAUUUUAUUGUGAAUACCAUUAUCUGAAUACCAUUAUCUGUGAAAUUCUCUGUAAAUGAAAGCCGGCAUUCAUUCUUUUAAAUUAUUGUUCAUACUUAAGUGCACUCAAUUCAAAUUCAUUAAUUACAUUUCAUAUCAUAAAUAUAACGCUCUUCUCUUCAAGUACUUAGUAAUUUGGUAGUUUUGGAAAUUUUACAGAAAAGUAGGAAUCUUGUUUAUAUUCGAUUGAUAUUAUUAAAACUAUCUGGCGCCCCCCCCCUAUUUAUUGAGCUGUUCAUUUUAAAUUAAGAAAAAAAUUAUAGAAUCCACCCCUUCUCCACUAGAGCUAAGCCGCGAGCUUCAUUUUACCUUAUUUAUGUUACAUCUAGAGAAUAUUUGAAAAUAAUUCACUUGUUGAGAAAAAUAACGUAACA